AUGCCUGUCACCGUCGGAAAGUGCAAGAAGAAAUCCCCGAGGAAGAUCCACAAAGCCGAGAGGGAGAAGGAUGAGCGUGACCUAUUCAAUUAUCUUUUCGGUGAACUUGGCGAAAUAGCUGUAUGUGUGUUGGAGUCUAUUGCUUCUUAUAUUGCACCGUGUGUGUCGCGGGGUCGAGGAAAAGGUCGGCGCCGACGUCGACAUGCACACAUUGACGCAAUCUUGAGCCGACCCACACUCGCCCAUCCCCGGUCGUUGUUCGUCGAUGGCAGGCCGAGCUCCGCCUCCACGCCCUGCGGAGUCGGCCCGAUGUGUUGGGAUUGGACCUUGAUGGUGUCUGCCCCCGACAGGACCUCAACGGCGACCUGCAGUUUUUCGUAG
rnacentral:rRNA from 1 species